rnacentral:rRNA from 1 species
UACGUAGGUGGCAAGCGUUGUCCGGAUUUACUGGGCGUAAAGGGCGCGUAGGCGGUUCGUACAGUCAGACGUGAAAUUCCUGGGCUCAACCUGGGGGCUGCGUUUGAUACGUGCGGACUUGAGUGCGGAAGAGGGUCGUGGAAUUCCCAGUGUAGAGGUGAAAUUCGUAGAUAUUGGGAAGAACACCGGUGGCGAAGGCGGCGACCUGGUCCGAUACUGACGCUGAGGCGCGAAAGCGUGGGGAGCAAACAGG